rnacentral:rRNA from 1 species
AUGUAUGCCGGCUCCAACCCCAAAUCAGAGAUCAGGAACUCUGACUUUCUCUGCAUCCGACCACCUGAACGUUUUCUUCAAGUGCUCCAAUUUGGCGGCGAUUUUCUCUUCGCUGACAAAUGUAACAGCAUUCAGCGCAUGCCCGAACAUCCCAGAUCUACGGGGUACACCCAGACCUUCGACGCACACUACCAUCGCCCGGACACGCUCUGCGUUGCAGGUGAGGAGCCAUGGCUGAGCAUGGCACAGCUUGGCAAUAUCACAAGGACC